CAGUUCCACUGUUCUUGUACUCUCCAUACCUCAACGUCCUAGGGUUCCAUGUGAUCCAACCCCUCGGCUCAACCAUGUCUCCUAAAAACAUCUUCAUAACAAGAACCGUUGCAAACGGCUUCCAAGGCCAUCCAAGUUACAGAGCCGGCUCAGAGGACAAACCACACAAACCAUCGUUCAGUGCAUACAAUACGAGAGAACAUAAUAUAUUUAUUAAUAAAAGUUAUAUAAAUAGUAAAAGAGAUAGUGAACGAAACAAGACAAAUAUAUCAGACGGUUUUGGUCCCAAAUAGUGAUGAAUAUUCAAUUCUUUAUAAUUUCAAGGAACGAGAAGGAACAUUCAUUCCUUAUCAUUUUAUUACAAAUAUAAAAUUUAACGAAUAUGAAAAUAAUGUAUAGACAUAAAAUAGCAGGAAUAGAAAAAUAGUUGUUUCAUCUCAAAAUUAACAAGGAAUCAUUUGUUAUUUAUUAACAAAAAAUUAUUCUUUGUGAAUGUUGAUUUUUUAAGAAUGAUAAGAAAUUAAAUAUUUAUCUUCGUUCUUUGGUCACUAUACAUUUAGUUUACCAUUCUGAUAUAUUUUUAAUUUCAUUUAGAACGUUUAAGUAUUUUUAAUGUCUAAAUUAUAUUUGUAAUUAUAUAUUUGUAAUUUUAAGCUACUAAUGCAAAUAGUGAUGCUGCAAGGAAACAAAUUGUAAUCACUUCAGCGAUGGAAAAUUCAAUAUUCCUAACUUAAUAACCCAAAAUAAAAACUUAAGAAAUACAAUUUGCCAUCAAAAAAUGUUUUUUAUAAAUAUUUACUCUAUUCCUCAGUGAGUUUUGGGUAAAAUACUUAGUAAAUAAAUAUCUUAGUAAAUAAAUAGUUAUAUUUGGGUAAGUAGUUACAUUUGGGUAGACAGUUAUAUUUUUAAUGUCAAAAUUAUAUUUGUAAUUAUAUAUUUGUAGUUUUAAGCUAUGGAUGCAAAUAGUGAUGCUGCAAGGAAACAAAUUGUAAUGGAAACACUUCAGUGAUGAAAAAAUCAAUAUCCCUAACUUAAUAACCCAAAAUAAAAACUUAAGAAAUAAAAUUUGCCAUCAACAAAUGUUUUUUCAUAAACAUUUAGUCUAUCAUCCUAAUAUAUUUGUAAUUUAAUUUUGAAACGUUUAAAUAUUUUAAAUUUCUAAAUUAAUUCAAAAUACUUAAUGAAAUUUAAAAAAUAUCAGACAUGUUAAUUUCAUAAAUUAAAAUCAAAUCACAUGACCGAAAGAAACAUUACUCAACAUGUUCUUUAUAAAAAACAAUGGAAAAUUUAGAUAGCAGAGUGGUUCGGAAAAUUCAGAUAGCUACUACACCCAAAAAAAAUCAGAUAGCUAAAAUCAUUCUUUAAUUUUUAUAUUUAUAAAUUCUCAAUCAUUUGUAUAACAAUUAAAUGAUGAUCAAUCCCAAGACAGGAAGGUCGACAAUAGUAAAGAAGAUAGUGAACGAAAUGAGACAAUAUCUUGAAUUCCUUAAAAAGAGAGACACUAUCUUAUGGUGAAUGAUGCAACAGGAAGACAGAUUCAUUAGACUCGAGUCAAAAUGUCAUUAAACAAAAGAACAUAAAAUUAGCAAUAAGAAAAAAUAAAAAUUAGACUUUCAGUAGAUAAACUUAGAAUAAAUAUAUACAAAUCAUAUAUAUUGGAUUGUGUUGUUAUACCAAUUUAUUUGUAAAGAGAUGUUCAAAAAGUUUCUAAGUUAACACUUUUAAUACUAACGAAAAGUGGAUCAAAAUCAUGAUUUCAUAUAUCUCAUCAAAUUAUAUUUUGUUUAUAUAUGUUUUCGUGCAAUUUAAUGGAAUGUAGGAUAUGUAGUCAAAUAAUUUUGGUCUCAGUCAAAUUUCUUGUGGUAUGUUUGUUGAUAUUUUAUUUUCUUCUUUGGUCAAAGAUUGUUGAUAAUUUCUUUCUUAAAAAUAAUAAAACCAAAUCCAUAUAUUAAGAAUAUAUAUAAUUUAUAUAUUACAGGAAAGAAAUUGUAAAUAAUCUUAUACAAUAUGUAAUUUUGUACCCAUAUAGGAAUUUUGACUACGAGAUGGGACAAAAACAAUUCGACUACAUAUCCUACAUUCCAUAAAGGUUAAUAAAAUUAUAAUAAAAAAUUAAUACUUACAUUUCAAAUCAUCUAUACUUAAAUAUAUAAGAUAUGAUAUCAAAAAUGUCUAAUUAAAACUUAAUAAUUAUUUUCAAAGAUAUCUUACCCAAAUAUAACGUUUUUAGCAAAUAUGAAAAUUUUGUUAUGGUAAGAAAAUAAAAUGAAAAUGCAGAAUAUAUUGAGAUUAUUUUGGAUUGAUGUGUUUAAUUCUAUGACCAAUAGUCCUAUAAAUUGAUCUUAAAUUUGCAAACCAAUUGUGUAUUCUUCACUAGACGAAAAAAUGAGUUUCACAAAGACCUUUGUAACCUGCUUUUUUGCAGCUAUAUUUGUUAUUUCGGUGUCCAUCCAACCCCAUAUGGCUUCCCAUAGCACAAAGAAAUAUGAUCCGGUUGUUGUUACAUGCUUAAGUACUGUAUGUACGAGUACAUAUACAUCAAGAGAAUGUGAGGGUUAUUGCAUAUCAAAGGGGUACAAUAAUGGAGAAUGCCGUGCUUUGGAUCUUCAGAAACCUGUAGGGCCUGACCAUUGUUGUUGUUAUUAUGAAAAGCGUUGAUCAGCUAAAUUCCUUAUCUUGAGAAGUAUGUGAUUUCGCAUAACAAAAUAUCAUCAAAUAAAUUUCAUUUGAUCAGA